rnacentral:siRNA from 1 species
GUAUGCAUGUAAAACCAUGACGUC